rnacentral:rRNA from 1 species
CACGUAGGGUGCGAGCGUUGUCCGGAAUUAUUGGGCGUAAAGAGCUCGUAGGCGGUGUGUCGCGUCGGCCGUGAAAACCUGCAGCUUAACUGUGGGCUUGCGGUCGAUACGGGCAUCACUGGAGUUCGGCAGGGGAGACUGGAAUUCCUGGUGUAGCGGUGAAAUGCGCAGAUAUCAGGAGGAACACCGGUGGCGAAGGCGGCCCUCUGGACGGAUACUGACGCUGAGGCGCGAAAGCGUGGGGAUCAAACAGG